GUUCCUUCACAGACAUCCGAUAAAAUGAGAACGAUACAGGAAGAUUAGCAUGGCCCCAGCGCAAGGAUGGCAUGCAUUAGUCGAGAAAUGGUCCUAUGUUUU
rnacentral:snRNA from 1 species